UGUUCCAUCUGGACUUGGAUCUGGCAACGCUACUUUGUUUCCCAAAAUUGAAUGAUAAUUAGCAGUAGAUUUGGCGAAAGAGUCUCUACUGGCUGCGGACGUGGCAAUGCUAUACCAUCCGGGCUUGGGUUUGUAUUGCAAGUGGCAAUUGUAAAAAAAGAAAAAGUACUGUUCCGGUCAACCGGUUAGGCAUUCAGGAGGAUGUCUAGGCGAACGAUCAGGUAGACUCAAAAAUUCAAAAACUUUUUAGUUUAUCAAAUAUGUUUUCAAAUGCAUUCUGAAAUGUGAUUCAGAAUUAUAUUUUGAAAAUUAUAAUCAAAUAGAAAGUCAAAAUCUGGAGGUGGAAUUAUGAUUUGAGAAUGAAACGAAAUAAUACCUUAUAAAAAAUGGUGUCUCUAUAACUGGAUUCUUUGAUUAUGCCAGAAAAUGAUAUGGUCAACGAGUCAUAUUAAUUUUUUUUUAAUGGGAAAUUACGUUGACGGUAAUUCUAUUUAUAUACUACA